GGUGUGUGUGUAGCUCAGAGGUAGAGCAUCUUCUUGGCAUGCAGAAGGUCUCAGGUUCAAUCCCCGGUAUCGCCA
rnacentral:tRNA from 1 species